GACGAACGCUGGCGGCGUGCUUAACACAUGCAAGUCGAACGGAAAGGCCCUGCUUUUGUGGGGUGCUCGAGUGGCGAACGGGUGAGUAACACGUGAGUAACCUGCCCUUGACUUUGGGAUAACUUCAGGAAACUGGGGCUAAUACCGGAUAGGAGCUCCUGCUGCAUGGUGGGGGUUGGAAAGUUGCGGGGGUUGGGGAUGGACUCGCGGCUUGUCAGCUUGUUGGUGGGGUAGUGGCUUACCAAGGGUUUGACGGGUAGGCGGCCUGGGAGGGUGACCGGGGACAUUGGGACUGGGGUGCGGCCGGGGCUCCUACGGGAGGCAGCAGUGGGGAAUGUUGCACAAUGGGCGGAAGCCUGAUGCAGCAACGCCGCGUGCGUGAUGACGGCCUUCGGUUUGUAAACCGCUUUCGCCUGUGACGAAGCGGGAGUGACGGUAAUGGGUAAAGAAGCACCGGCUAACUACGUG
rnacentral:rRNA from 1 species